rnacentral:snRNA from 1 species
GGAUGUGAGGGCGAUCUGGCUGCGACAUCUGUCACCCCAUUGAUCGCCAGGGUUGAUUUGGCUGAUCUGGCUGGCUAGACGGGUAUCCCCUUCCUCCCUCACCGCUCCAUGUGCAUCCCUCCCAAAGCUGCGCACUCGGUCGAAGAGGACAACCUUCCCUGAUAGAGGCAGCUAGGUGGUGCAGU